AUCCCUUAAAAUUACGCUCACAAUCAGGGAUCAACAAAUAUCAGUUGAAUUGAAAAUUAUUAUUGUUGCAUAGACCAUCUGACCUUUUACAUCCCAUGUUUUAAUUUGGUUUUUUUUUUAAUCCACAGCCUAAAUGCCUCACCCCCUAUCUCCCCAACACAGGCCCACCUGGAAGGACUCUGCCCUUUGUCUUUGCUUUCUGGGCUGUGCCCCGGGGUCUGUCCCCGUUUUCAGCUGUCUUGCUUCCCUCUCCAGAUGCUAGGAUGACUCACUGGGGUGGAGAGAAGGGAGCUGGAAAGGAGUGGGGUGAGUGACUCAAAGGCCUAGACAGAAAACUGUCAGGAGAGGAUCCUGGCUGGGCCAGGAGAAGAGCUGGAAGAAGCCUAGAUUUGGUGGUCAGACAGGAGACAGGGGCAGGUCCAGGGGGGUAGGGGGCACCCAUCCCUGGCCUGGGCUCCAGACACGAGUGCCUCUGCCGCCACCGGGGAGCCCCUUCGUCUAGCUCUGAACCCCACCACCUUCCCUCCUGGAUGGGCACCGCGGCCAAGUUCAGAGCUCACCCCAGCUGUCAGGACACACUGUCACUCCAGCUGUUCCUGAGCAAUGGAUUCCUGUUGCCAAGAUAUGGAUUUGGUUUUAAUAACAGUUAGUGCAAACACUGUAAAUUUACUGCUGCGAGAGAGAGUUUUUGAAAACGUCCACUCUGGCUAUAAUUUUUCAGCCGCGCCAGCUGUUUGUGCUCAGCUCAUACCUGACAUGGUGCUUUGAAAUAGCAAUCACUGUAUUUAUAAGAAGGCGAGGACUCAUAAAUAUGUCACAAGUGGAAUAUACAACGCCAUAUUUCACCAUUUUCUAUUUUAAAAUUGUGAGUUAUGGCUGCAGAAAUGCACGCCCAUUAAAGGUGAUAUGAUGUAUUUUCUGCCCUGUUCAGGAGUCCAUCCAUCAUCCAGACAAUAAAGAAAACCGCACUUACUUUUUUCCUGUCGUCUGUAAUUUAUGAUCCCCAAAAAGCUGUAACCUUUUGGCAGGCUUUGCAGAAACCACUGCACUGUUAGCAACUAAAUAACCUUUUAUAAGGUUUUAAAUGUGUUGCUACAGUCUCAAUGCACUUGCUGUAUUGAUCCAGAAGAUCUUGGGGGGGUGGGGGGAAGGAGUGGAAGGAAUGGAAGAAGAUGAUCUAUAACCAGAUCAAUAACGGCAUAUAGAUUGUUGAAAGAUGCUUCUAAUGAUUUUUGCCAGCCAUCAUCUUUCAGCACGCCACGCCCUAUCUCUUAGGCUUGGGUCUUGGCUGGAAUUGAUUGACCUUGCUUUUUUGCUCCCUCCCUCCCUCUUGUUGAGCCGCCAGACAGGGGAGACGCAGAAUGAAUUGGCCACCGCAGGCUAUUUGCAGAAAAGCUCUGAGAAUCAUAGGGCUGGAAGCUCUGAGAAUCGUCGAGACUAUCUCAGCACCCAGAUGAGGAAACUGAGGCCAGCCAAGAGGCUGUGACUUGCCCAAGGUCAAGCGGCAAUUCGGGAGCAGAGCUCGGAGGGUGGAUUCCUGGUUUUCAGUCCAAUCUACCAUCUCAUGUUUGCCCCAAGGAAGAGGGUGUGCCAGGAGCCGCUGAAUGCAUUCCUGAUGAGAUCGGCAGACCCAAUAAAUCUGCCUGACAAUGAAAAGAUGUGGGAAGAUGGUGAGCUUGGGAAUCCGACAGAACCGGGCUGAAUCCGGACCCCGCCUCUGCUUCCGGUAACUGGUAACUAGCCUAGCUGUGUCUCUGCUACUCCACCUGCAAGACGGCAGUCAUAGUCCACCUAGUAAGGUGGUGGAGAAGAUCAGAUCUGGUGUCAGGCGAUGCCAAGCCCAAAGCUUGCAUGUGACCUGGCUCCUGCCCUGCUCCCUUCAGCCUCCUCUCAUCGCCAGCAUUUUCUGGGUCUGCCUCCCUCUCCCUCUGCUCUGCCUUAGCCUCUAGGACAAUGGUGAUGGAAACCGUCAGGAAAGAGGCAGCUAUGGAAGAAAGCUGGAUGAUCUUUUUCAACCACAAAGUCUUUGGUGCGGAGGCGUUACCUUAAUUGUCAACGAUGAAGGCAGCUGAGGGGAAAGACAAAACUAAGCACAAGGGAAGCCAAGUUCCUGGAGCUUGGAGACCACGCCUGGUCAGUUCCCUCUGAAAGGGCCCACAAGAGGCCAUGGGUAAUUGGGCUUUUAACAUUAUAUUCUUGGUAGGGAACAUUUGCAGGGAGGGAAAAAAAAGUCCUUGUGAAGCAACUGGACUGUGGUGCGCUGGCUGUGUCACAAAGGACUCUCCCGCCAGACAGGCCUGCAUUCUCAAAAGCAGCACUUUCCGCCCCAGGAACAUGCUGCUUGAGGGGAGGAUGAAUAAACGGUCGGCAGGACAAAUCCAGCUCCUGCCUCUGUCUGCAAAUAAAUUUUGCAAGAACACAACCACGCCCAUUCGAUUAUGUAUUGUCCACGGCGGCUUUCAACUACAAGUGCAGACGAGAGCAGUGGUCCCUCUGUGUCCAAGGGUCAUGGUUCCAGGAACCCCCUCAGAUGCUACUAUCCUCCAAUGCUCAAUUCCCUUAUAUACAAUGGCAUAAUAUCUGCAUAGAACCUACACACUUCCGCCCUCAUCUUUAGAUUGCUUAUACUACCUAAUGCUAUACAAAUCUUUGCCUGUCAAUGACAAAUUCAAGUUUUGCUUUUUAGAACUUUCUAGAAUCUUUUCUCCAAAUGUUGUCCAUCUCUGAGGAUACAAAAACCUAAUGGAUAAGAAAGGUCAACUGUAGUUCUGAUAGAAAUCAAAAGACACAUCAAGCCUAAAACAGUUUCCAGCUAGCCCUUUCUCCCCCCAAAAGCUCCAAAUCCCUGUGCUGAGGUCCACUCAGCACUGCCACAAGCCAGAGGGCUUCCCAGGAGCACGUGAUCCAUAAGUACAUGAGCAGGGAUUUAGAGUUUACAAAGUACUUUCACAGAGGUGAUCUUGAGGAAAACUCCCAGCAACCUGUGAGCUGGAGAGUCUGAUUCAGAGGCACAUACUGAGACCCAGGGACCAGAGGACUUGCCCAAGUCCCCAGGGAUGGUCAAAGACAGAGAUGAGACCUGAGCCCAAGCUGAGAGGCCCAACCUCCCUCUAUUGCACGCCCCUCCAGGGCCCCAGACAACCAGCUAAGGACCUGGGCAAGUCACUGGGCCCCCCUGGACCUUAGUUUCCUUACAUCCAAAAUGAACAGUCAAUAAAACACUCAUUUUGAAAGAUGCUAAGGGGAGUUCCCGUUGUGGCUCAGCAGGUUAAGAACCUGACAUAGUGUCCGUGAAGAUGCUGGUUCAAUCCCUGGUCUCGCUCCGUGGGUUAAGGAUCCAGCAUUGCCAUGAGCUGCAGUGUAAAUCGAAGAUGUGGCUCAGAUCUGGCAUUGCUGUGGCUGUAGUGUAGGCCCGCGGCUACAGCUCCCAUUCACUCCCAAACUCUCGUGUUGCAGGUUCAGCCUUAAAGAGGGAAAAGAAAAAAAAAAGAUGCUAAGGGACUCUUAGCAAGCACCCUGUGAAGUAAUUCCCAGGGGGAAACAUCCCAGCUCCUACACCCAGUCUGAUCCACACAUGGACAGGCCAUCAGAGAAGCUAGUGUGGCAGGCCCAGAGUAGGGAUGAGGAGGAGGGGGAGCCCAACUCUGUGGACUGGCUCCCCUAAAACCCUGGACCCCCAGAUCAUGUUAGAGCACGGAAAGGCUAACAGUGGGCCCAGAGAGGCUGCCCACACACACAGGACUGCUCUCCAGCUCCUAGGCAUUCUGCCCGAGACAGGGUGUCUGCAAGAUGGUAAAAGCCCCUGCUGCCCCAUAUACUUCUGGGGUAGGGUGGGUCAGGGCAGGUAAUAACAGGGAAAAGAGCUGUCACCCCUUUGUCAUAUGCCCUGCGAUCUCUCUGUGUCUCCCUCUCCCUCUUCCUGGUCUCUCCCAGAGCACCACCCCCCCAGAUCAUUAUUAACAUUAUAAAUAAAAACGAGAGGCAAGUUAUUAAAUGUAAAAUAUGCAGUUCCUCCCAGAACUCGCUGGGCAGUUCAUAAACGUGACGGCUUAAUUUUGCUGCUGAUCCAGGCAGCUGAUGAAGCAUCGCCAGCUCGUGGGCUAAUUGAAGCUGUUAACAAAGUGGAGGAGAAAGAUGAUCACAGCGGGGUUGGGGGGGUUCCUCUCCCGCCUGAAGGGAGCAAGGGGCAGCCCGACAGAGACAGAGUUCUCCACCUGAACCUCCAUCUGGAGCUGCUUGAAAGACCAAGGGACUUCCCUGAGUCUCCUGUGGAGACAAGCAGCUUCAAACACAGCUUGGGGAGUUCCCGUCAUGGCACAGCAGAAGCAAAUCUGACUAGGAACCAUGAGGUGGCAGGUUCGAUCCCUGGCCUCUCUCAGUGGGUUAAGGAUCUGGUGUUGCUGUGGCUGUGGUGCAGACCUGCAGCUGUAGCUCAGACUGGACCCCUAGCCUGGGUGUGGCCCUAAAAAGCAAAAAUAAAUAAAUAAAUAAAUAAAUAAAACAGAGAGCAAACGAGUGAUGGCCAGGGGCUGGGGGAGGAGACAGUGGGAAGUGCUGACUUCUUGGAUACAGGUAUUUUGGGCAGUGAUGGAAAGGUUUGGGAGCAAGAUAGAAGUGGUAGUCACAUGAUAUUGUGAAUUACUAAAUGCUACAGAAUUGUUCUCUUUGGAGUUCCCUUGUGGCUCAGGACUGAUGCGAUGCUGGAGGAAUCACAGAGUUUUGGACACUGAGAGCCCAGGGUCCUGAGUUCUAGGAAGGACCAUUGGCCAAGUCUAUGAGCCAUUUAGAAGUCACUUAAAUAUUUUGGCUUUAGUUUCCUUCUUUUGAAGGAGGGAGACUUAACUUUAUAUUCCUCAGACAUCCCUUCUGGCUUUAAAAGUCUGCUACUGAGCUAAAUUAAAAGACAAACAGGAAAUGUAUUUUUCAUUGUUAUGUCAGAAGAUGGAUGUUCUUAAUAUGUAAAGGGGCUUUUAAAAAUCAAUAGGAAAGGAGUUCCCGCUGUGGCACAGCAUGAUCCACAGCAUCUCUGCAGUGCCAGGACGAGGGUUCUAUCUCAAACCCCACACCAUGGCUUAAAGGAUCCAGCACUGUGGGAGCUGCAGUGUAGGUCAUAGCUGCACCUCAGAUCUGAUCCCUGGCCUGGGAACUCGAUAAGCUUUGGGGUGGCCAAAACAGAAAAAAAAAAAUUUAGGAAAAAGAGGAAUAUUCCAAAAGGAAAAAAAAAUAGAUAAAUAACACAGGAUUUUUUACAAAGAUUUUCCCAUUAACUAUAAUAAGGAAAAAUUAAAAACAGCCUAAAUUCAAAGCAAGAAAAGUUCUUGUCCUAAUCACAGCAGUCAUAUUACUAGUCAUUGCAAAUAUAUUUCUUCAUAAUAUUUAAUAAUAAAGUGUUUAUAAUAAAAGAGGAAAAAUUCAGAUUUUCAGUUUUAUGUCUUAUUUGUCUAAAAAAAAAAAAAAGACAGUUAUAGGUAGAUGAUACAUAGGCUAAAAGGAUAUGCACCCAAAAGUUAACAGUGGUUAUCUCUGAGUGUAGGUUGAUAAUUUUAUUUCUCCUUUAUACUUUUAUGUUUUUCUGAAUUUCCAUAAUGAGGACAUUAUUUUCUAAUUUAGAAAAAAAAUGUUUAAUCUAUGAUGCAACAGAAUAGCAAAUUCAGGGUUUUACAUUCAGCUCCAUUAAAAUUUCAUUCUGGUACCAAAGUGAUAAAAACCUUCACCACAAUAAAUUUUCAAAGGUUAUUAAAAAUGCCCUUUAUUAUUCUGCAACUGUUUCUCUAGGACAGCAUCUGUCUCACUCAAUUGUUGAUUAACCUACAUAAAUUCUCAACUAUUCAUAAAAUGUCUUGAGGACAGGAAUCUAGCCAAAUUUAUUCCCAGCACCAAAUACCAUAAUAGGUGUUUAGAAGAUGUUGGUUGACUCGAGGGCAAGAACUGGGAGAUUAGCGGUCUGGGAGAAAUUGAGCAAGAGGCAAGAGAAAGUGAAAUGAUUAUAUAUAGAGAGAGAGAGUUGGUAUUGUGGCUCAGUGGGUUAAGAACCAACUAGUCCAUGAGGAUAUGGGUUUGAUCCUUGGCCUCACUCAGUGGGUCAAAUGAUCUGGCAUUGACACGAGCUGCAGCAUAGGUCGAAAAUGCCACUCAGAUCCCAAGUUGCUGUGCCUCUGGUAUAGGCCGGCAGCUGCAGCUCUGAUUCAUCCCCUAGCCUGGGAAUUUCCAUAUGCCUCAGGUUCAGCCCUAAAAAAGAAAAAAGAAAGCGAGAUGAGGAGCCAUGCAGAAUGGGUAGCUGUGGGCAAUUUGUCAGUUCGUUCAUCUAUAUAAUGAACACGCCAACAAUGAAGAUACUGACUUCAACAGGACUCAGAGCCUCGAAGUUAAGGGAUAGAGACAGACAUGCAAAAAAGAAAAAGAAAAAAAAAAAAAAAGAGUUUCUGUCGUGGCCCAGUGGAAACAAAUCUGACCAGGAACCAUGAAGUUGCAGGUUUGAUCCCUGGCCUCGCACAGUGGGU
rnacentral:lncRNA from 1 species